rnacentral:tRNA from 1 species
CUGUGGCUGGCUCAGCGGUAGAGUGCUCACCUAGCAUGUGCAAGGCGCUGGGUUCGAGCCUCGGCAUCACAUA